AUAUUCUGGUUUAUUCUUCAAAUUGAAUAAAUCUUUCACUUUUUACUAAAGAUGUCUGUGAAGAGGAAACACUUUUGAGUUUGUAGUCAACUUUUUGAGACCUUGUGUUUGCAGGGUU
ensembl:snRNA U5 U5 spliceosomal RNA